GCCUUCGUAGUGUAACGGUAGCACACUCGGUUCGUAUUUGAAAACUCGAGGUUCGAGUCCCGACGAGGGCA
rnacentral:tRNA from 1 species